UCUUCCUACGGGGGGCAGCAGUAGGGAAUCUUCCACAAUGGGCGAAAGCCUGAUGGAGCAACGCCGCGUGGGUGAAGAAGGUCUUCGGAUCGUAAAACUCUGUUGUUAGAGAAGAACAAGGACGUUAGUAACUGAACGUCCCCUGACGGUAUCUAACCAGAAAGCCACGGCUAACUACGUGCCAGCAGCCGCGGUAAUACGUAGGUGGCAAGCGUUGUCCGGAUUUAUUGGGCGUAAAGCGAGCGCAGGCGGUUUCUUAAGUCUGAUGUGAAAGCCCCCGGCUCAACCGGGGAGGGUCAUUGGAA
rnacentral:rRNA from 1 species